GACGGGACAGGAGGGGACGCGACAACGGGACAGGAGUGGAUGGGACGGGACAAGACGGGACAGGGUGGGACAAGAUGAGAUGGGACGAGACGGGAGGAGAUUUCUGGGCAUGAGCGUAGCGGAGACCUCUGGAUAAAACCCAUAUCCUUAAUGUUUGAAAGGCUGGAGUCUAGCUCCUUAAUUUCCUGGAAAGGAUGACACUGGAAGUCAAACCACCAUGGGAUCCUAGCUUCUACCCAGAAGAUCCUCAGAUCAAGCACUCAUCAUCUCCAACCUUGCUUAUCCUGGAAAAUGAGAAAAAUAGAGCAACAACAAAAUACUGCCAGAGGAUUUUUCUGUUUAGUUAAUUUUCACUGAUGUUUAACCUCAAGGAAAGUUUUUCACCAGAGAGCUUUAGGCAGUUUUCCCCAUGAAGAUUUCUUCUUCAAUAGCUAGAUGGGCUAAGACGCCUUUUUAGCCUAUUUCUUUUUAUUUGGUUUGAGAUUAAGCCUCUCCUUUUUAUGUAUGUUCUUGUUUAUAAAGACAGAUUAGCUUAUUUUUUUUCCCUCCAGGAAUAAAACAACUUUAUAAUCAAAAUCCAAAAUUACAAAAGCUAAAUUUGCUGCUUUUGAAACAGACAUCUGCUCACAGUGUGUAAACCAACAAAUAAAAUCGCUUCAGAUUAUUCACAUGUUGUUCACAGGAAAACAUAUUUUAAUCUUAUCACAUGAAAAUGCAAGUAAUGAGUUGCAUACCAAAUUAAUUAAAUAAUGUACUAGCUUUUGUCAUGACAUUGUUAGUAUACAACCUGGGUAUAUUUUAAUGAGAUUUUUCAAAGUUCCUACACAGUGUUACAGGGGUCAUUAAGAUUCUGCUGUGGUAUAGUUGUAUACUAAGCAUAUUUUUCUUUUGACAGGCUAUAAGGAACACACCAUUCACGCAUAUUUAGGUAAUAAUUUUGAUAUAUUAUCAUUUGCAUAUAGGCUGAUGGAAUUGUAACCAAUUGCUGGACAAUCUCAGAAAACUAUUUGUUGUAAAAGUGUAUGCAUACAUCAUUCAAAGCACUUAGUCUGCUGGGAGAGGAGGUCCAGAAAAAAUGGAAUCGCUUUCUCUACUUUCUCCUCAAGCACCUAGGAGUUUCUUCUUUCUCUUACUGGCAGAUUUCUAUAAUAAAUCAAAUAGCUAGGGUGCAAAAGGUCCAAAACAUAUGCAAAGGGUUUGAAGAGCUGCCUAGGAAGGAGUAUUUUUAACACAGUCUGUAUUUGCUUUGUGGCGAUUGGAAGGAGCCUGGCCUUCCGAAGCAGGAUUUGCAGUGACAGGGCUGGCUGCACAGCCUCACGUGUUCCAGGGUGUAUGUCUGCAAUUUUUCCAAUCAAGUACAGCGAUACAACUUUCCUUUCUAUUACUUAAACAAUAGUAAGAAAGUAAUUACCAGAAAGAGGUCUUUAAAAUAAACAAACAGAGAUAUCUACCCAAAAUCCUCUCCCAGAGGUAACUCAGGAAGGCCAGUUGUGGGUUUGUUCAGCUCUCUAAGACAACUCCCCGAGUCUCAGUUGUUCCUUUACAAAACCAGCUAGAAUUCUUACGACUGCAUGUAUUACCAAGCUUUUUCCUGAGCUGGCUUAAUUCUGCAAGAAAGAGCUCAGAGGUGUUGGUGGAGAUGUAGCUUAUCUGAACUGUUCCUUUCCCUUCCUGCUUCUCUUCUCAACAGCACCUAUUAAGCUGCACAACCGUAUUCAAAUGUAAACAUCCUACUGGCCAUGUCAACAUAGGGGAGUCAUGAAUUACUGAGCAGUUCCCAGUUCAGCACAGCGGGAGACUGGGAAGGUAAUUUUGUACAAGCCAAGAACAGAGGCAGGUCCGUGAGCGGCACAAAACAUCAAUCUGAAUUUUUUCUACUUAAACAUGCUUUGUUGUCAUUUAUUCAAUGUUUUCACUCUAUCGCUAACCAUAUAUUAUAUUACUACUAUAUCAGACUAACAUUCUUCAGCAUCUAUUAGAUAACAUCUUUUUAAAUCUAGUAGACUAUUUUACUUACUGAUUUUCAAUAAACAAAAUUAAUUUCUGUA